rnacentral:rRNA from 1 species
GCUGCCUGGUGAGAGUGGCGAACGGGUGAGUAAUGCGUGACCACCUGCCCCAUGCUUCGGAAUAUCUCCUGGAAACGGGUGGUAAUGCCGGAUGCUCCGCACUGUUGCAUGAUGGUGUGGGAAAGGGUUUACCGGCAUGGGAUGGGGUCGCGUGCUAUUAGCUGGUUGGCGGGGUGAUGGCCUGCCAAGGCUUCGAGGGGUAGCCGGCCUGAGAGGGCGACCGGCCACAUUGGGACUGAGAUACCGGCCACACUCCUACUGGAAGCAGGACCGGGGAAUAUUGCACAGUGGGCGAAAGCCUGAUGCAACGACGCCCCGUGCGGUAUGACAGCCUUCGGGUUGUAAACCGCUUUUGAUUGGGAUCAAGCGAGAGUGAUUGUACCUUUCAAAUAAACACCGGCUAACUACUUGCCAGCAGACGGGGUAAUACCUAAGGUGCAAGCGUUAUCCGGAUUUAUUGGGCGUAAAGGGCUCGUAGGCGGUUCGUCGCGUCUGGUGUGAAAGUCCAUCGCUUAACGGUGGAUCGGCACCGGGUACGGGCGGACUGGAGUGCGGUAGGGGAGACUGGAAUUCCCGGAGUAUCGGUGGAAUGUGUAGAUAUCGAGAAGAACACCGAUGGCGAAGGCAGGUAUUUGGGCCGUCACUGACACUACAGAGCGAAAGCGUGGGGAUCUAACAGGAUUAAAUACCCUGGUAGUCCACACCGUAGACGGUGGAUGCUGAAUGUGGGGCCCGUUCCACGGUUUCCGUGUCGGAGCUAACUCGUUAAGCAUACCGCCUGGGGAGUACGGCCGCAAGGUUAAAACUCAAAGAAAUUGACGGGGGCCCGCACAAGCGGCGGAGCAUGCGGAUUAAUUCGAUGCAACGCGAAGAACCUUACCUGGGCUUGACAUGUGCCGGACGGCCGCGGAGACGCGGCUUCCCUUCGGGCCCGGUUCACAGGUGGUGCAUGGUCGUCGUCAGCUCGUGUAG